CACACACACACACACACACACACACACACACACACACACGCACACACACCAGUAUAAACCUCACAGAGGGAAAGUGAGGGACAGUGUGGAGAGAGCUGUUCAGACAGGACGGUGGUUAUGAUGCUGAUGGACAGUAGAGUGCUGGUGCCGCUGGCCCGGGAGCUGUUGUCUCUGAGGUUCAGGCCGGGGUUGCUGAGGGUUUACCUGGUGGGCUCAGUGUUGGCUCUGCUGGGGGUCGUGGUGGGCGUGGCCGACAUGCUGCGUUUGACCUUCUGCACUGAGGACGUCCAGACUGGACCAGAGGAACAGUACGAGGAGCUGCUCGCAACCCUGCGGGAGAUCACACACACACACUCACACACUCUCUCACACACACACACACUCACAGACACACACUCUCACACAGACACACACACUUACAGUGAACUGAGGCCCUCACUGCAUUUUGAGGAGGAGAGAGGGCCCUUAACCUACAGGAGACCCCUGGAACACACACUCCCCCCAUACACCCAUCGUAUGUAGCAUCUUCUCAGCUCACUGAGAACAUUUAUCAACAUUUUAAAAAGGUUCCAUUAACGUUAAACUGUAACAUUGCAGUGACGUUACCAUGAUGUUUAAAAAUGUUAAGUAAAAACACUCUAAGAACAUCCUGAAAAUGUAAGAACAUUAACCGUCAAGAUCAGAAAAUGUUCUAUUAAGCAAAAACUGUUCCAUGCAUUAAAGUGUAGCGAUGGAUGUGUGUAACUUAUUGAUCUACUGUUUCCCAGAAUGCACUGCAAAUCAAAUCAGCUGAUGUUCUGUGUUUAAUACUAGAUGGCAGCUGUGUGUGUGUUUGCUAUUCUUACAUUAUAUAUUUUUUGUAUCUAUAAUUGUAAGUGUAAAUUUUGUAAAUGUAUAUUCAUUAUUAUUUAGAUUUUAUUUGUAUUUUAUAAUUUUAAAACUGUUCACAUGAAAAAUAAACAACCUCAAACAACCUUAA